rnacentral:rRNA from 1 species
CAAUUUAUACAGUGAAACUGCGAAUGGCUCAUUAAAUCAGUUAUCGUUUAUUUGAUAGUUCCUUUACUACAUGGUAUAACUGUGGUAAUUCUAGAGCUAAUACAUGCUUAAAAUCUCGACCCUUUGGAAGAGAUGUAUUUAUUAGAUAAAAAAUCAAUGUCUUCGGACUCUUUGAUGAUUCAUAAUAACUUUUCGAAUCGCAUGGCCUUGUGCUGGCGAUGGUUCAUUCAAAUUUCUGCCCUAUCAACUUUCGAUGGUAGGAUAGUGGCCUACCAUGGUUUCAACGGGUAACGGGGAAUAAGGGUUCGAUUCCGGAGAGGGAGCCUGAGAAACGGCUACCACAUCCAAGGAAGGCAGCAGGCGCGCAAAUUACCCAAUCCUAAUUCAGGGAGGUAGUGACAAUAAAUAACGAUACAGGGCCCAUUCGGGUCUUGUAAUUGGAAUGAGUACAAUGUAAAUACCUUAACGAGGAACAAUUGGAGGGCAAGUCUGGUGCCAGCAGCCGCGGUAAUUCCAGCUCCAAUAGCGUAUAUUAAAGUUGUUGCAGUUAAAAAGCUCGUAGUUGAACUUUGGGCCCGGUUGGCCGGUCCGAUUUUUUCGUGUACUGGAUUUCCAACGGGGCCUUUCCUUCUGGCUAACCUUGAGUCCUUGUGGCUCUUGGCGAACCAGGACUUUUACUUUGAAAAAAUUAGAGUGUUCAAAGCAGGCGUAUUGCUCGAAUAUAUUAGCAUGGAAUAAUAGAAUAGGACGUUUGGUUCUAUUUUGUUGGUUUCUAGGACCAUCGUAAUGAUUAAUAGGGACGGUCGGGGGCAUCAGUAUUCAAUUGUCAGAGGUGAAAUUCUUGGAUUUAUUGAAGACUAACUACUGCGAAAGCAUUUGCCAAGGACGUUUUCAUUAAUCAAGAACGAAAGUUAGGGGAUCGAAGAUGAUCAGAUACCGUCGUAGUCUUAACCAUAAACUAUGCCGACUAGGGAUCGGGUGGUGUUUUUUUAAUGACCCACUCGGCACCUUACGAGAAAUCAAAGUCUUUGGGUCUGGGGGA